rnacentral:rRNA from 1 species
GACACGACUCUCGGCAACGGAUAUCUCGGCUCUCGCAUCGAUGAAGAACGUAGCGAAAUGCGAUACCUGAUGUGAAUUGCAGAAUCCCGUGAACCAUCGAGUCUUUGAACGCAAGUUGCGCCCGAGGCCAUUCGGCCGAGGGCACGCCUGCCUGGGCGUCACCC